AGUCGAGCGGCAGCGGAAAGUAGCUUGCUACUUUGCCGGCGAGCGGCGUACGGGUGAGUAAUGUCUGGGAAACUGCCUGAUGGAGGGGGAUAACUACUGGAAACGGUAGCUAAUACCGCAUGACCUCGAAAGAGCAAAGUGGGGGAUCUUCGGACCUCACGCCAUCGGAUGUGCCCAGAUGGGAUUAGCUAGUAGGUGAGGUAAUGGCUCACCUAGGCGACGACCCCUAGCUGGUCUGAGAGGAUGACCAGCCACACUGGAACUGAGACACGGUCCAGACUCCUACGGGAGGCAGCAGUGGGGAAUAUUGCGCAAUGGGCGCAAGCCUGAUGCAGCCAUGCCGCGUGUGUGAUGAAGGCCUUAGGGUUGUAAAGCACUUUCAGCGAGGAGGAAGGCAUCAUACUUAAUACGUGUGGUGAUUGACGUUACUCGCAGAAGAAGCACCGGCUAACUCCGUGCCAGCAGCCGCGGUAAUACGGAGGGUGCAAGCGUUAAUCGGAAUUACUGGGCGUAAAGCGCACGCAGGCGGUUUGUUAAGUCAGAUGUGAAAUCCCCGCGCUUAACGUGGGAACUGCAUUUGAAACUGGCAAGCUAGAGUCUUGUAGAGGGGGGUAGAAUUCCAGGUGUAGCGGUGAAAUGCGUAGAGAUCUGGAGGAAUACCGGUGGCGAAGGCGGCCCCCUGGACAAAGACUGACGCUCAGGUGCGAAAGCGUGGGGAGCAAACAG
rnacentral:rRNA from 1 species